UACGUAGGUGGCAAGCGUUGUCCGGAUUUACUGGGCGUAAAGGGCGUGCAGGCGGUUUGUUAAGUCUAGGGUGAAAGCUCCCGGCUCAACUGGGAGAGGUCCUUGGAUACUGGCAGACUUGAGGAGGGUAGAGGAGAGUGGAAUUCCCGGUGUAGUGGUGAUAUGCGUAGAUAUCGGGAGGAACACCAGUGGCGAAGGCGGCUCUCUGGGCCCUACCUGACGCUGAGACGCGAAAGCUAGGGGAGCGAACAGG
rnacentral:rRNA from 1 species